AUCUUAAGUAAGAUUUUAUUAAUUUUAAUUUUGAAAAACUUCUUUCUGCCGAAGCAACACUUACUGAAAUUGUUAACAUUAUUCUAAAAGCAAUAUAUGCAUUUGGAAAAGAGUCGAGUCGUCUUAUAUGAUUGAGUAUAUCCAUUGAACUGUUAUCUUCCACUUGUAUAAUUUCUUUUAAAAUUUUUAGCUCUGAAAAUAAAUCUAAACCAUCA
rnacentral:lncRNA from 1 species